rnacentral:tRNA from 1 species
GCGCCUGUAGCUCAACGGAUAGAGCACUGGUCUUCGGAACCAGGAAUGGGGGUUCGAUUCCCUCCGGGCGCACCA